rnacentral:rRNA from 1 species
GAACGCGAAGAACCUUACCAGGUCUUGACAUCCCUCUGACCGCUCUAGAGAUAAAGUUUUCCUUCGGGACAGAGGUGACAGGUGAUGCAUGGUUGUCGUCAGCUCGUGUCGUGAGAUGUUGGGUUAAGUCCCGCAACGAGCGCAACCCCUAUUGCUAGUUGCCAUCAUUUAGUUGGGCACUCUAGCGAGACUGCCGGUAAUAAACCGGAGGAAGGUGGGGAUGACGUCAAAUCAUCAUGCCCCUUAUGACCUGGGCUACACACGUGCUACAAUGGCUGGUACAACGAGUCGCAAGCCGGUGACGGUAAGCUAAUCUCUUAAAGCCAGUCUCAGUUCGGAUUGUAGGCUGCAACUCGCCUACAUGAAGUCGGAAUCGCUAGUAAUCGCGGAUCAGCACGCCGCGGUGAAUACGUUCCCGGGUCUUGUACACACC